GAAUAAUUAUAUAUGGAGGUGGAAAAGGAGUAGAAGAAAUAUUAAUGGAAUUGUCAGUGUUGGUAGGAUGGGGUGGUGGUAUAAUUUAUGAGGCAGUGUGCAUUGGCUUGCGUUUCUGAUGAUAAUGAUAAUGGCAGUCACAAGAAGAAGGCAGUGACAGAGGGAGCGCAGAGAGAGAAGGGAAAUAAAAAGGGACUCGUGAGAGGUAAUGAGGAAACAACAUCAAGGUAGUGGUGAAAACAAUCUGGAUUCCUAGUUGUUGUGCAGAGCCUCCUUUUCUCCCCUACGGUUAUUCAAGUUCUUUCCUUCUUCACUCUAGUUCUCCUAUUCUCGGAAACUCGGAAGACUUUGCUCAAGAACAGGGAUAGGUGGUGACUGGUUGUGAAGCUGUAGCUGACUGAUGGAGCUGAUCUUUUUGGAAUGUUUGUCUUUUGUUGUUUAGCUACUUAUUGUAGUAACUGAAUUGAUGUAUCUUUUUGUACACUUUAACUCUAG